rnacentral:rRNA from 1 species
UGCCAGCCGCCGCGGUAACACGGGGGGCGCAAGCGUUAUUCGGAAUUACUGGGCGUAAAGGGAGCGUAGGCGGUUUUGCAAGUCAGAAGUGAAAGGCUACGGCUCAACCGUAGUAAGCUUUUGAAACUGCAAGACUAGAGUGCAGGAGAGGCAAGUGGAAUUCCUAGUGUAGAGGUGAAAUUCGUAGAUAUUAGGAGGAACACCAGUGGCGAAGGCGACUUACUAAACUGAUACUGACGCUGAGGCGCGAAGGCGUGGGUAGCGAACGGGAUUAGAUA